rnacentral:tRNA from 1 species
GGAACCAAAAAAUUGGUGCAACUCCAAAUAAAAGUA